UACGUAGGGGGCAAGCGUUGUCCGGAUUUAUUGGGCGUAAAGAGCGUGUAGGCGGCCAAGCAGGUCAGCUGUGAAAACUCGAGGCUCAACCUCGAGACGUCGGUUGAAACCGCUUGGCUAGAGUCCGGAAGAGGAGAGUGGAAUUCCCGGUGUAGCGGUGAAAUGCGCAGAUAUCGGGAAGAACACCCGUGGCGAAGGCGGCUCCCUGGGACCGGUACUGACGCUGAGAUGCGAAAGCGUGGGGAGCGAACAGG
rnacentral:rRNA from 1 species